CAGUAGCCGCGGUAAUACGUAGGGUUCAAGCGUUAAUCGGAAUUACUGGGCGUAAAGCGUGCGCAGGCGGUUAUAUAAGACAGAUGUGAAAUCCCCGGGCUCAACCUGGGAACUGCAUUUGUGACUGUAUAGCUAGAGUACGGCAGAGGGGGAUGGAAUUCCGCGUGUAGCAGUGAAAUGCGUAGAUAUGCGGAGGAACACCGAUGGCGAAGGCAAUCCCCUGGGCCUGUACUGACGCUCAUGCACGAAAGCGUGGGGAGCAAACAGGAUUAGAUACCCCAGUAGUCCCUGUCUCUUAUAC
rnacentral:rRNA from 1 species